rnacentral:misc_RNA from 1 species
CCUAUGUAGAAGAAACAAGAGAGAGCAUUCUCUCUUGAGUUGUGGAAAAUGUUGAGGAUGAUUUGAGGGAGAAGGAAACCAUCAAGUAUCAAUCCGGCAUAAGACCUUAAGGCCAACCAAAGGGAAUGCUGGUGAUUGUAUAUGUAAGUAUAAUUCAUAUCCUUUCCAAUAUUGUCAUUCCUCCAGUUCACAUAGAAAGCAAUCAAGCCUCCGGUUAUAUAUAAUGGUAGAGACAGAUAAAGUGUCUUCUUCUCAGCAAUCCAGGAGGCUUUCGAAUUUCCGUCAGCCCACCGUGCAGACAAUACAAGCUGCAGAAGUCGGACUUUCAGCAGAAAUGCCACCAUUGUCACUGCCCUUACGAUCACCUCAUUCAUUUCAAGCAAUCCCCCACUCGCCCGUUGGAAAGAUUGGCGAUUUUGCUUCGAAAAGAACAAGGCUUCAAUGUUCAGCACGAGAGGGAUCAUGUGCCCCAGAGUAAGUACCACAAGCAUGAGAAGUGAGAUGUAAGGAAACAUAUUAGGAUGCUUCUUUAAAUAGAAGAUUUGGUAUCCCACAAAGAAACAUACUAGGGUAUUCGAGACCAAAGCCAUAAUGAUCUCCAAAUCCAUCCUCAGUAUUGAUUCCCUUGCAUAUCGACCAGUGACGGAAACUGCAGAAAAGGAAAUAGGCUGUAAGUAAUGAGGAUCGGAUUCUUUCCUUGUGCUCUUCAUAGUUCCCUGGAUAUAAUUGUUUGAAUCUACUGGAGGAAACUCAAGAUUAACAAGAAAUUCACAGUCCAUCAAAUCAUCAUUUGUAUGAUUGUUUGAGCCAAGAUAUCUGCAGCCCACCAUGCACAUAACUCCUGUUUCAGGAUCAUAAAUUCCCUCAGCAAAAAUUUCAGCUUGAGAAUACUCAUUCAAGGAGGAAUUGAAUGAUGGGAAAUUCAUUUUGUAGCUGAUGUUCAAAGGACUGAUGUGUUGAUUUUUUGCUUCAUCCAGAGAGUUCCUUGAACUGGAAAAUGGCAUGGAGUACCCGUUCCGUACUGGAAUUUGAUCACCUAUAAAGAGGGGGCUUGCAUAGCCCCAUCCAAUUCUUUUUCCACUGGAAUUCUUGACUGACAUAUCAAAUUGCAUGUCAUAUGAAUUUGCAUCUGGGUAUUGGGUUUCUUUCUUUCUUGCUGGCUGCUUCUUCAGGCAUGAAUUUGUUGCUCUAUCAACAAAGGUAUACUCAUAUUUAAGCCCUGGAAUCCCACGCAACUCACCCCUGUAACUUUGAAACCUGAUCCUCUUGAAGUAACCAGACUCAUUUGCACCUUUGUUGCUCCAAAUAUGUCCCACAAUAGCACUAUUCUUUCUGACUGACCAAACAGAAGGGAACCUUAAACUCAUCCUUAUUGAGCAAUCCUCAACAAGAGAACUAUUCAAGGAAUUUGUUGCAGUCGAAAUUCGACAAGCAACAAUACAUAGCUGAUUUUUCUUGGAAUUCCAUGAUCCUUCUGCAACUAAUGUUGUAUUUGGACUGAAGGGGAGAUAAUAAUCAGCAUAGCUACUGUUGGGAAAUUCUAACAGAAAUCUCAGACUUGGUCUAUCAUGUAAACAUUCAAUUAAACUCAAGGACAUCACUCCAGGCAAAAAUCCAACACCCUCACCCAAAGGAUUACAAUUCUUUGCAGAAUCACAGCCACUUGCAUACAUUAAUUGGAAUGAAUUG